CUGCCAAAAUAUUCAGAAUCUCUCUGGCAUCCACCACAAGACAAUUGUCAGACUUUAUUGGUCUGAUCAGGAAAGGCUUUUGCUUUCAUUUGGUGCCAACAUAUUUCCCUGACAGUGAUGUGAGAGGUGACCAGAUGUGUUUGUUGACCAUGGAGAUGCCUACACAGGGAAUCUCUUUCCUUCUUCUUCAGCAGAGAAUAUUCAGAAGCCUAGGGAUGAGGCUAAAAGGGAAAUGCUGACUGGACACAAAGAUGGGACUGGUUUGCCUCAGAAAUCUUCUGUAAAACUGGAGAAAGCAACAAGUAUGAGAUACUGCCAAAGCAACACCAACUCCUCUGCACAGAUUGUAAGAAUUUUACAUUUCUUUACAUUCAUUGUGGAUAACUAAAG